rnacentral:rRNA from 1 species
UACGUAGGUGGCAAGCGUUGUCCGGAAUUAUUGGGCGUAAAGCGCGCGCAGGCGGUCCUUUAAGUCUGAUGUGAAAUCCCACAGCUCAACCGUGGAAGGUCAUUGGAAACUGGGGGACUUGAGUACAGAAGAGGAAAGCGGAAUUCCAAGUGUAGCGGUGAAAUGCGUAGAGAUUUGGAGGAACACCAGUGGCGAAGGCGGCGAUCUGGGUCGAUACUGACGCUGAGGUGCGAAAGCGUGGGGAGCAAACAGG